UACGUAGGGUGCAAGCGUUGUCCGGAAUUAUUGGGCGUAAAGAGCGUGUAGGCGGCCCGAUUAGUCCGCUGUGAAAGUCCAGGGCUCAACCCUGGAAUGCCGGUGGAUACUGUCGGGCUAGAGUCCGGAAGGGGCGAGUGGAAUUCCUGGUGUAGCGGUGAAAUGCGCAGAUAUCAGGAGGAACACCAGUGGCGAAGGCGAGUCUCUGGACAUUUCCUGACGCUGAGGCACGAAAGCCAGGGGAGCAAACGGG
rnacentral:rRNA from 1 species